GCCAACCUGUGCCUCAAAUGGGUUUGUUUAGUCCUGGGAGAAAACCAUUUAGCCACACAGAGAGGAAGAGAUGUGCACCUUUCAAUUCUUCCGCUGACAGAUGUGUAAGCCCUAGGCACCCCUGCUGCUGGUCAUUGAAAGAUGAAGGAUGAAAUGAUUGCUUUCAAGAGUGGGUAAUCACUGGUCUCAAGCACCCCAUCAAAUAGCAUCAUCAGCAGAGGGCAAGUGGGAAAGCUGUCUUCACUCCUCUAAUGGCUAGAGCUGAGGUGCUACCUGGAGUCAGGAGUCACCAUUUUCUCCUGCACACUGGAUACAAGUUACCAUGUAAGCAAUCCCAGGUAGAGUUAGGAGUCUGGUUAUACCUAUCUCUUUAAGGGAUUUUAAUGUGCUUUGGUGACAUUCUCAUCUGCGUUAGAAUGGUAAAUUCUUUUAUUUCCUAGCUGCGGGCCUUAGACAAGGUACCUCCCUGGAACCUCACGGUUCUUGCC
rnacentral:lncRNA from 9 species